rnacentral:rRNA from 1 species
UACGUAGGGGGCAAGCGUUGUCCGGAAUCAUUGGGCGUGAAGCGCGUGUAGGCGGUCCGGUAAGUCCGCUGUGAAAGUCGGGGGCUCAACCCUCGGAUGCCGGUGGAUACUGUCGGGCUUGAGUACGGAAGAGGCGAGUGGAAUUCCUGGUGUAGCGGUGAAAUGCGUAGAUAUCUGGAGGAACACCGGUGGCGAAGGCGGCAUCCUGGACCGGUAUUGACGCUGAGGCGCGAAAGCUAGGGGAGCAAACGGGG